GCUACGGAUAUUCCCCCACGCAAAAGUUAAUUUCGCGUUCUAUCGCACGGUGAUGUCUUUCUAGCCGUAAUUUUCAUUAAAAAAAAAUAGCGGUGAAAAAAAUGGAGCUGGACGAUGUCGAAGAUAUCCGCUACGGAAGAAUAAUGGAUUUUUGUGAAUUGGUAACAAAAUUUAGGCCUGCAAUGAUUAUAUCUGGUGUUAGUGAUUAGUUGGACAUUGUCGGAUCAAUCGACCGUGCAUUUACGCUAGGUGCGUCAAGUGAUUUAAUCAGUAAUCAAAUCUGCAGAAGAAUAUAAUUUUGCGUUGUGUGCCCGUUUCCCCGUUACGAGAGUAGCUACUUUUUCUGCAAACAUCAAUUGGAAGUAAAAUGAACGAACUGUUUAUUUUGUAGUACGUCUCUUGGUUCAGGUUAAGUUGGUCGAUCUUAAUUCCUCAGAAACCUGAACAAUUACGUUACCGUCAUAAAUUACGAAAGUCAGCAGAUCGUUAAAACUUUAAGAAGUAUUAUUCCGAAGUGUCUCGCACAAAUUAAACCUUAACCAAUUUGAUCGGCGAAUAUGCACUAAUUCGCAGCAUCGCUGUAUAUACUUUGUAAACAAAACAUUUUAUAUCAGAACAUCACCAUUCAUUUGAACAAACCACUGAGUCUGCAGCAACGACAUACAGUUGAAGCUGAUAACCUGGGAGAUAACAUGGUCGAUGAAGUAUUCUCGAAGAACAGGCACUACCUGUACAUUACAUGUUGCAAUGGAGGUAUAGUACAACGUCUUCAACAAUGUUUACAUCGUCUUUAUCAGCUACAUGUCUGUAAACGAAUUGAACCAAGAAUUGAAAGCUGAUUGAAAUGAAGAGCUAUGUACUACCAUUUCAAAUGCAGACCUAUGUACUGACAUACAUCGUGUCGCUGGAGUUUUGAACGUGAUCAUGGAAUUCGGUAAUUAUUCGUUUUCGUGACACGUAUUCAGGACUUUUUUUGGUAGAAUUGUUUACACCUGAUCUCCAUGAUAGUCCACCCUGGACACUAAUCCAGACACAUUAACCUUCCCAGAAACCAGUGUCAUGCAAACUCGUUCGAGUCCAAAUGCUUUCCGAGUUUCAAAGUUUUGCGAUCGUCUAAAUAUUUCAAAUUAAUGGUAACGAUAAACUUUGUCGGAUAGAAAAACUUUCAGUAUAGUAAUAGUCUGUAUCACCUGGCAAUCUGACUUCCUUGAAUAGCACAAACCGUCGUCUUUUUAUAUCCUUGCAUUAUGGAAACUGUACAAAAGUAAGGACAAUUAGUAGUGGUCGAAAAAUGCAAGUGUUACUCCGGAGCUCCUAUUGAACCACUAAUAAUCUAAUCGUUGCACAAUUAUUUCGUGAUUACUUUGUGUGGAAAUGAACCACAACGGCAGCCGAUACACGUCGUUCGCCUUUGCUAGUGGAGGGAUCGCUGGCAGCGGCGGUGCCCGAGGGGAACUGAGCAGUGGUAAUUUGAGCAGAAAGCUGAGUAGUCCGAUGGCAGAGUCGACACAGCUGGACAGCAGCGGUAUCCGGGGGAAUCUUUACGACAGUCCGGUACAUGUUGGAGUUGGGAAAAGAAGCCUACCUCUCCGUUGCAAAAUAGCAGGACAAAUUUUAGAAGCAGCUGAACGGCGUCCGGGUCCAGUAUGGAUCGAUUGAUUGAUCCUAAGAUUUACACGGAUGUUCAGAGCCGAGGAUUGGUUAACCGGUUGGUAAAGAACCACGAUAAAACGCAAUCGCCGUUAAAUAGGAGUCAAUCGAUGACUAGCCUGUACUCGAAGCCGGGUCAAUUUCCUGUGUGGUGGAGGAGAAAUAAUUCUUCGAUAGCUACCAUUGGUUCGGAUUUCCCCGUCAGAGAAGUCCGUGUUUCAGGCUGACACAAGGUGGAACAUUUUACGGGAGGGAUCGUUGCUCAUUCCGGCGGAACCUCAUCUGAAGAUGGUCCGAACACAUAGACACGAGGAUAAGAUUGAUGCGGAAAAUAGUGUGAUUGCGUCUUCAACAGAACUGGAUGCCGAUUGGAUCAAGAAACAAUGUAAGGAACUAUCGGAGGUUGAUUCAGGCGAAGCUGGUACGAAGCAAGCUCGGGAAAUUACAUACACGGCUUCGCACCCGUGUCGAGGGUCGACGAAUCAGCAGCUACAGACGAAGAAAUGUAGUAAAAAUAAUAAGUUCACUUAGCUCGAGCCUGGUGAUGAACACUCCGAAAGUGGAACACGUAGCGCACCGGCCGGCACGAUUAAAUGUGGAUGUCUCUCGACGCCGGCAACAUUGGAUGCGACGGUUCCAGUUAGCAUGAUUGAAUCGAGCAAACCGGCAAAAUUAAGUAGGAUUGAUUCCGCUCCUUUGCCACAUAUUACGAGAAUUGCUCCGGAGUUUCAACUGCCUCUGAUGGAAUAUCCGCCACUAAAACUAACGUUGUUUAACAAAAAAUACAACGUCCAUGACAUGACGAAACGGUGGUUCGACCCACGUCCACAGACAGUGAAGAUAAGGAUGAUGAUGAUAAAGUAGGCGGACGAAUCAGUUUCAUUAAGCCAAAGGAUAAAUCGCCUAUGCCAAGGUUGUUUUGAAGAGGUUCGAGCGCUCGAAAUCAUCGUUGAUUCUGAGCUGCUUGAGUGAUGAUUUUGAUGAAGACGAGGAAUCGCCUAUAGUUACGCCAUCGCAGGGUUCAUUUUAUACGAUAGACACCGCGGAUGCACCACCGAAGGUUGAAGAGAAGAAACGGCUUCCGUCCCGACAAUGAGCGGUAUUUCAGCAAUAGUUAACAGCCCGAUCAAGGAUCCUGGCCUAGGUAACCGAAACCGGUGGAAAAUGUAAAAACGAUAGAGCAACCGAAGUAAACCACGGGAUUUGCUUUCGGAAGUACAACUGCUACCGUCAGCUCGGCUCCGGUUACAGCACAUCAAUCCGAUACAUAAUUUACGUUUGGGACGCCCACUUAACCGUUACUGCUAAAAUCAUAUCAUCGGAAAUACCACGUAUCGUUUUCCUGUGCUUGGAUUUCGGUACGUACGGAAUCGGACGGCGUUUAUGGCCGAUACCAUUUUAUCGGAAAAUAAUGCGAUUCGAGGUAUUAAUCACACGCCUACAUCAAAAAAUUAUAUAAUUUGCAACUAAUAUUUUAAAAAGCCUGACGCUAAUAAAAAUGUUGAAU